rnacentral:lncRNA from 1 species
AGGCUGUGUCUCAAAAUAAUAAAAAUUUGAAUUAAUUAAUCAAUUAAAAUUAAUACCCCCCUUUAAGAGUGCAGGGGUCUAUUUGGGCUCACAGUUUGAGGCUACAAUAUGUCCUGGUGGGGAAGGCAUGGCAGUAGGAAUUUGAAACAGCUAGUCCCAUAGUAUCCACCAGAGACAGGGAUGAGCGCUCAGCUCAUGCUCUGCUUGCUUCUUCCUUUUCAGUUAGUCUUUAGCAUCACAGAAGGGGACUCUCUUUGUUUAGGAUGGCUCUUGGUGCUUUGUUGUGUGGCAACCAAGACAAGGUCUUAGUUUGUAACCCAGGCUGGCCUGAAACUCCUGCUCCUGCCUCCUAUGAUAACCUUCUUGAGCCACCAGCUCUAGCUGCCAUUCUAAACUCUUAAGAGUGACCUUUGUUUUUAAGAGUGACCUUUGUGACAUUUCUUCCUUCCCUCGGCUCUUACAAAUUAAGUUUCUUAAAAAGUAAUGUAUUUGGAAGUGAAUAAGGCAGAUGAUGGACAUGGGAAGCCCAGAUCCUGGGCCCCAAUCAGAUCAUUUUUUAAAUUGAAAUUUGAUUUGAUUUUAUGUGUAUAAAUGUUUUGCCCGCAUCUAUGUCUAUUUACCAUGUGCUUGGCCAGUGACCACAGAGGCCAGCAAAGGACAUUAGACUUCAGGGACUGGAAUCAUAGACAGUUAUGUACUGCUAUGUGGGUACUGGAAGCUGUACCCAGGUUCUUUGGAAGAGCAGCCAGUGUUCUGAAGUAUCGAGUCAGCAGAACUUCUUUUUUAAAGGGGAGUAUCAGUCUGUGGCACAGGAUCACACUAUUCAAUCCUUCUAUUGGCCUGAAAAUGGAGCCCUUUCUGUCUCUUGUGCUGUCUCCUGUGGUGGAAUCGCCCAUCAUCACUCCCCACACUUUCUUUGAAUUAGACAGGAUUUUUAAAAAGAGCAGAAAGACUCGGUGCCCUGGAGAGAAAGACCCAUCCCAGGUAAGGUCUGGUUUUCCUCACUGUCUCCUUAUAACCACUUCGUGUCCCACAAAACUAUUCCCUCUUCUGUCCUACACAGAGACUUUCUUUGUUUUGGCAGUGUAGGGACAGAAGCAUGGUUGUGAGAAUACUGGGCAAGUGCCCUGCCAUUGAGUUUCAUUCCAAGAUGCCAACAUGGAGCUUUGAGACAGAAAAGUCCCCCAUCUUUUCCACAAGACCAGCUGUGAAUAAAUCUAUUUCUUUUAACUUACUUCUGUCUCUGGGAUUUUCAGUCGAGCAGUGAGCAGUAUACAACUUCAGUUUCAGUAACAGAACUAAGUUUCUGGCUUUCCUUUUCCCAAGUAAUUUAUUGUCUUACCCCUUACCUGAUUUUCCAUAAGGGUCUCCUAGUUUCCAAAGAACAGCAAACAUAUCUGUAAAACAUUGGCAAAGAAAGGCAAAAAUAACGAAUAAAAUAAAAAGAAAACUGUUAAGGAAGAACAGUUUGUUCCUAGUCCUUCAUUAACUUAAAAGUCUAUUCUAGUUAGAGAACUGUCUGAACUUUGAUUCCUCCACAAAAAGCAAAUGAGCUUUAAAUCAUUAUAAAUGUGAAGGAGCGUCACUAGCCUUCAUGACAAGGUGAUCACAAGUAACUGCCUUUCCCAUAACAGAAAUAUUUAACACAUAUGAUAGAAAUAUAAACAGAGCAAUGAUUUGUGAUGUCUCAAUAUGUUCUUCCUUGCUGAAGGACUGUUCAACUAGCUUUAAUCAGUAGUAAGGGCAAGCAGACAGGAAAAAUAAACCGUGAUCACAAAGAGUUGACCAGACUAGCCAGAGAGACUUCUGGCUGCCUGGACAGAGAAGAGAGCUAUAUCAAUAAAUCCUUUACCUAAUCACCCUGCUGUUAGCAACAAGUGUCAAUAGAUCCAGAGGACUGCUGCUUAUGGCUUCAGAGUAACUUCAAGAUAGCACACGUUAUAGAAAGCAACUUUACUCCCUUGCAAGACCAAGUCCUGUCCUGCUAAAUUGUAUCCCCUUCUCUUCCAUAAGACUCCCCUAAUUGCUACCUAAAUGUUUGGCUAUGGGUCUUUGCAUCUGUUUCCAUCAGCUGCUGGGUGAAGCUUCUCAGAUGACAUCUACCUAGGUUCCUGUCUGCAAGCACAGCAGAGGAUCAUUAAUAGUGUCCGUGGUUGGCUCUCUUCCAUGGGGUGGGUCUCAAGUUGGGCCAGUCAUUAGAUGGCUGUUCCCUCAGUCUCUGCUCCAUCUUUAACCCGUGUGCAUCUUGUAGGUUGAAGGUUUUGUGGGUCUGUUGAUGUUCCCCUCCCUCUACUAGAAGUUCCCCUGGCGAUGGGCACUUCAGUUUUCAAAUCCUCAGCUGCUAGGAUGCUAGGAACCUCCGGUAGAAUCACCCCCAUAGAUGCCUGGCAGCCUGCUCCAUCCCAGGUCUCAGACUCCUCUCAGAGAUGUGCCCCCCCAUUUUUCGUUCUCUCUCCCAGCUCUCCCCUCACAUAUGAUCCCCACUCCACAUAUGAGCUCCUCACUCCACACAUAUGAUCCCCACUCCAGUUUCUCUCCCCAACCCAUCUUCCAUCCAGUUCUCUCCCUCCAUCCAUCUCUAAUGUUUAUUCCAUUUCCCUAUCUGAGUAAGAUUCAAGAAUCCUAACUUGGACCCCCAUUGUUAGCUACUUUGGGUUUGUGGAUUAUAGCAUCAUUUUCCUGUACUUUAUGGCUAAUAUACACCUAUAAUUGAGUACAUACUAAUUGUGUCUUCUUGAAUCUGGGUUACCCCAGUCAAGAUAUUUUCUAGUUAUACCCAUUUACCUGCAAAUUUCAUGGUGUCUUUGUUUUCAAUAGCUGAAUAGUACUCCAUUAUGUAAAUCCACAAUGGAAGAAUAUCCAUUCUUCAGUUGAGGGACAUCUAAGUUGUUUCUAGUUUCUGGCUAUUAUGGAUAAAACUGCUAUGAACGUAUCUGAGCAAGUGUCCUUGUGGGAUAGUGGAGCUUCUUUUGGAUAUAUGCCCAG